GGUUUACAGGAAGUAGCAUUCCUGUCCCAUACCGUUCAUGAGAACUACAGAGAAGGAAGAGUAUCCUUAUCGUUAAAUAACAUAACGCCAACAAGUUAUGACCUCAAAGAGCAAACUCCUUGAUAUCCUGGAACACUUAACAUCUGAACAUCUAAAAAAAUUUACUUGGUAUCUUCGGGAGAAAAAAUGCAGAUUAAGAAGACUCCAGCCCAGAAGAGACCAGCCCAGCCCAAAGUUAAGAAGACUCCAGCCCAGAAGAGACCAGCCCAGCCCAAAGUUAAGAAGACUCCAGCCCAGAAGAGACCAGCCCAGCCCAAAGUUAAGAAGACUCCAGCCCAGAAGAGACCAGCCCAGCCCAAAGUUAAGAAGACUCCAGCCCAGAAGAGACCAGCCCAGCCCAAAGUUAAGAAGUGUCCAUCCGAUAUUUUUCGAAUCCAAAAUAUGUGUGUGCCAACCAGCCUUUUUGAAAUAACGGAUUUAUUUUACAUUUUUAAGUGUCACAAUUCUGUCUGAGUUGAUAUUAUGAUACUUUAUAAUAAAUACAAUAAUAAAUUGU